rnacentral:sRNA from 1 species
AUAAAGAAAGUCAACCAGAGGAAGGCAGACUGUCUCCCCAGACACCCCGAUGAAAGGAAGCAUUUUACCUCCUUUUUUAUGUCUUUGCUUGGUUUUGUUGUCUCUCUUCCCCAGCGACCACUUUGGGAACCUGAAGAAACUGUGGUCAUUGCCUUGUAUGACUACCAAACCAAUGAUCCUCAGGAACUCGCACUGCGGCGCAACGAAGAGUACUGCCUGCUGGACAGUUCUGAGAUUCACUGGUGGAGAGUCCAGGACAGGAAUGGGCAUGAAGGAUAUGUACCAAGCAGUUAUCUGGUGGAAAAAUCUCCAAAUAAUCUGGAAACCUAUGAGUGGUACAAUAAGAGUAUCAGCCGAGACAAAGCUGAAAAACUUCUUUUGGACACAGGCAAAGAAGGAGCCUUCAUGGUAAGGGAUUCCAGGACUGCAGGAACAUACACCGUGUCUGUUUUCACCAAGGCUGUUGUAAGUGAGAACAAUCCCUGUAUAAAGCAUUAUCACAUCAAGGAAACAAAUGACAAUCCUAAGCGAUACUAUGUG